ACAGCCAUCGCCACUUUCACUUGUAGUUGAUAUUUUGUCUAUGUCGCUAUAGUCAUGCACGCUUUUUGUGAAAGAUGAGAUAGGUUUUUAAGAUUAAUAUUUCUUUCUUUAUUUGUCGAACGGCGUAUUCUUUCAAAGUUUUUAGUUAAGAAAUUAAAAACUAACCUCUAAAUAUGGGUUUAACCGAAAACUUUUAAUUUAAAUAAGAAAUCAAGAAAUAAAGCAGAUGAAAUUAUUUUUAAAAUAAAGCAUAACAACUUGAAGAAGCUGGUACUGAAGUUACGGAACCUUUCCAUUAUAUUAUUCGUUCUAAUUAAUUGGUUUUAUUAAUAAUACUACUUACUCUUAAUGAUCAUUUUUAUUAGCUAUUUUUAUUUCCAAAACACAUGUUAUUUUAGACGGACAUUUAGUAGGACGUUUUUACUUGGUAUGAAGCAGUGUUACAAGUGAAUGAACUAUAUUUAUCAUUGAAAGAGGAUCAUAAUAAAGUCUGGAAAACCAUAUUGUUAAAAUGUGAAAAAACCAAAAGAUUUCUAUAAAGAAUAAUAACGGAUCUGAGUUACAAUCGUGCAGAGAAUUGACAAAAUAUUUUGAAUGAAAUAUCCUAUUAAUUGAAUUGGCCAACCAUUGAUGCUCAGUAAUCUGUUACUUCAUUUAAGAACAAAAGAUGAUGACGUCGAUUCAGAAAUAUAUCAUUAUGUACUGGAUUAUUACUAUGUUAAGAAAAUGAAUCCAACAGAGGAAUAUUCCAUUGUGCAAUAGAUUGAACUGGCUUUUAAAUUGGUCUUCAACGAGAAUGUCGCAAAAUUCAAACUUCCAUGACUACUGAAUUUUCAAUGAAUAAGAACGGUUGUUAUUCACAUAAAAUUUGAAAAGAAAAAUAUUUUUCAGGAAUAUCAUUCGAUAAUAUGUUUUCGUCAGUUAGUCGAUGGUUUUUCUAUCGAAAGAUUCAUUCUGCAUACAAAGAUUGAGAAAAACAGGAGAACUAUUCAAGAGAUCAUUAGAAUCAUCUUAAAGGAUAUUGAAGAACAUAGCUGUAGUAAAUAUGCAAAGAUAAAAACAGAGUAAAUUUAUCCUAUCAAAUCUACCAGCCUAAUAACAAUCCUAGAGGAGAAGGAAAGCAGUUUACUACAAAUGAUGCUUAAGGAGAAUUGCCACUGAAGAUUGUGUGGAAAUCAAUGAUAAGAGAGCUCAUGUUGGUUAACUGGAAUAGAGUUUCGUUUCAUUGAUCAUACGGAACAUAUUUUCUGCUAAUUGAAUGUGGAAAUUGCUUUGUUUCAUGAUGGUAGAACGAUUGUUGAUGAAAGAAGAAUAAGAUGUGGACUACGUUCUUGUAUUAAUCCUGCUAUGGCAAUCUAUUCUCAUACGUACGUUUAUCUAUUCAAUGGACCAAUUUAGCUUUGUUCCCAAUCUUUUUAUGGAAAAGAACAAAAAAUCCACUAAAACAUCAUCGAAGAUUCGAGAGAUUGAUAUUUACAAUUAUGAUAGUAGAAAGCGUUAACCAAAGCAUUGGCUUAUUUAAGAUUUUUAUUUGACAAUAAGUUAAACGAUUGGAACGAAUAAGUGAUUAAAUUUAUUAUAAUCCUAGUGUUAGGUUUUUCAUUAACUAAUUAUUUAUUAUAUUGUGAACAAAAUCUCGCUCACUGAAUACGUAAGCCAUCGUUUUAAUAUCUAUAACAUUAAACGCCGAGAAAAUUUUCAUCAGCGAAUUCGACAUUUAUUAUUAUUUUUUUCUUUUUCUUUUAAGAGUUCGGUAUUUUUUCUUAAAAACGUUUUCCUUAUCAAUAGGUCUCAGUGUAGCUUGAACUUAUUCGAAGGAUAUGCCAAUUAUUUCGGCAAAAUAUACGGGAAGUCGAAUUAAAAGAAGUAAGCGAAUAGAUGAUUGCCGGAUUGUGUUCUCGAAUAUCUGAAGGAGGAAUGAAUUAAAGAGUCAGCUGAAGGUUCAUUUCAUUUAACGUGUAUGAUUCAUUCAGUCGUUAGGAACAAAAUAAGAAUUAGUUUUAUCAAUUACAUUUGAACGUUUUUAACAUAUAAUAAAAUAAAAGUUGUUAUCAAACAAAGACUUAAAAUCGCAUUUUUUCAAUAACUAUCGAUUUAAAAUGGAAAAAAUAAUACCAUUGUAAAAAGAAUGAAAAGACGUUUCAAAUGAUAUGCCUCUCGUCUCCUUUUGCCAUUUAAAAUUUUUGAGAUGGUUGUCAUCCCCUUAGGAAGUUAACCUAAAGAAAAAUGGAUUUAUUAUAAGGACUUAUCCCUCUCGAAGACAAUAUUGACCAGAUCUGGCAUUUUUUGAAAAUGUCAUUAGAUUUUAUAAUAAUCCUGGUUGACACUUUUCGUUUGGACACUCUGUAUAUGUAUGUAAGUUACAU